GACGAACGCUGGCGGCGUGCCUAAUACAUGCAAGUAGAACGCACAGUUUAUACCGUAGCUUGCUACACCAUAGACUGUGAGUUGCGAACGGGUGAGUAACGCGUAGGUAACCUGCCUGGUAGCGGGGGAUAACUAUUGGAAACGAUAGCUAAUACCGCAUAAUAUUAAUUAUUGCAUGAUAAUUAAUUGAAAGGUGCAAUUGCACCACUACCAGAUGGACCUGCGUUGUAUUAGCUAGUAGGUGAGGUAACAGCUCACCUAGGCGACGAUACAUAGCCGACCUGAGAGGGUGAUCGGCCACACUGGGACUGAGACACGGCCCAGACUCCUACGGGAGGCAGCAGGAGGGAAUCUUCGGCAAUGGACGAAAGUCUGACCGAGCAACGCCGCGUGAGUGAAGAAGGUUUUCGGAUCGUAAAGCUCUGUUGUAAGAGAAGAACGGGUGUGAGAGUGGAAAGUUCACACUGUGACGGUAUCUUACCAGAAAGGGACGGCUAACUACGUG
rnacentral:rRNA from 1 species